rnacentral:misc_RNA from 1 species
UGAGCCCUGGGGGCGUCCAUAUCCUACCUUGAUACCUGAAGACUCAUUGGAUACAUCGAACACGCCUUCCUGGAUAUUCUGACGGAUCUUUCCUGCAGUCCUUAUGAAGGCCUACAAUAAAAAAUUUAAUAGAUUAGUUUGUACAAUAUUAAGCCCUCUACUAUCUCAGUUAGAUUACACCAAGGUUCAGCUAUAAGCUUUUACCUUUUCACAUUAGUUUUAGAUAAAUUGAUAAAACAUAUACAAGAGAGUAUCUCUUGGUGCAUGAUAUUUGUGGAUGAUAUAAUUCUGAUAAAUGAGACGCGAGAAGGAGUCAAUAA